GCGACGGGUGUUCGCUGGGAGCGGGUCGCCGCUCCGAGAGGAAAGUCCGAGCUCCGAAGGCAGAGAUGCAGGCCAACGGCCUGUGGGAGUGAUCCCGAGGACAGUGCAACAGAGAAGAGACCGCCCGCACGCGAUGACCGCAAGGGAGGCGCCUGCGAGCAGAGGGUGAAACGGCGAGGUAAGAGCUCACCGCGUCGCUGGUGACAGCGAUGGCACGGCAAACCCCAUCUGGAGCAAGACACAACAGGAAGCGCAGGGGAGACCCGAAAGGCUGUGCCGGCCGAUGCUUCCGGGUAUGUCGCUGGAGGCCGUCGGCAACGACGGUCCUAGAGGAAUGAACGCCGCGCCCCGCCGGGCAACCGCGCGGGGCGUACAGAACUCGGCUUACAGUGCU
rnacentral:RNase_P_RNA from 1 species